rnacentral:rRNA from 1 species
CACGUAGGGCGCAAGCGUUGUCCGGAAUUAUUGGGCGUAAAGAGCUCGUAGGCGGUUUGUCGCGUCUGCCGUGAAAGUCCGGGGGCUCAACUCCGGAUCUGCGGUGGGUACGGGCAGACUAGAGUGAUGUAGGGGGAGACUGGAAUUCCUGGUGUAGCGGUGAAAAUGCGCAGAUAUCAGGAGGAACACCGAUGGCGAAGGCAGGUCUCUGGGCAUUAACUGACGCUGAGGAGCGAAAAGCAUGGGGGAGCGAACAGG